rnacentral:lncRNA from 10 species
UUCUGGAUCUACAAUGGCUGCAUCAUCUUGUCAUUCAGGCCUCAGUUCUAAUGUCAUUUCUGUAGAGCAAGUUCACUUGACUGAUGUAACUAAGGUAUCUCUCUUUAGAACCAGAUGUCAGGAGCAAGGGAGCACCAGUGGUAGAAGAACCUGCCUCCCCUGGCUCCAUCAAAGGCCACAGGCCCAUGAGAAUCACCCGGCCUGCUCUGAGCAGCACACUCGGAGGCCACAGCCACGCACAGGAAAGUGAGAGGAAGUGGAAACGUGCGAGCAGAGGGCUCAAAGCGACGGGCUCACCACCGGAAAAAAAAAAUAAAA